GCCCGAGUGGUGAAAUGGCAGACACACAGGACUUAAAAUCCUGAGCAGCGAAAGCUGCGUGCCGGUUCGAGUCCGGCCUCGGGCA
rnacentral:tRNA from 1 species